rnacentral:lncRNA from 1 species
GUCCGCGCGUUGUAUUAAAUUGUCGUCCGUCGAACUUUUCUUAUCAUUCGACCUGUCUGAUAUUGACGUCGUUGGGAGGUGCCCAGUCGUUGAUACGUUGGCUUGCCUUCCUCAUCGUUCAUGGCCGCGAGCUCGAGCUUGGCGGUCCGAACUCCGCAUUACUUUGGGGGCGUCGCUGUCUUCUUGACCUGUGUCGAGAGUUUUCUCAGAGACCGGGGGUGUUUGGUAAGAGCUCCCCAUCUUUGUUGAGAUGAGGUUCUUCAGGUCUUUGGUGUGGUUCGUUCUUUAUCUGUUUCCGCCGUAGCUCGCCGCUCUUCCUCCUUAAUAUCCCUCCUCUUCUCAGAGUGAGGGCCCUACCCUCGCUUUUGCGGGGUUGCACAGGAGUGUGGAGGUGCCGCUGAGGGGCCUUGUCCCUUUGCCUGAUCUUGUCGGGCGGUCGGGUUUCAUCACUAUCAGGA